CACCAGUUCACAACCAUCAUCACCAGCACCAUCAUCAUCAUCAUCAUCAUCAUCACCACCAUCACCAUCAUCAUCACCAUCAUCAUCAUCAUCAUCAUCACCAACAGAUGACAACCAUAUAUCUACCUGAUCACAAUCCAGAGCUACAGCAUUCUUAUUUUCCUUUCGUUUGGCCACAGCUUGUUGACGCAGUUGUACCACC